GACAGAGGGUGCAAACGUUGUUCGGAAUUACUGGGCGUAAAGCGCUUGUAGGCGGCCAAGCAGGUCGGAUGUGAAAUCCCUCGGCUCAACCAAGGAAGUGCAUUCGAAACCGCAUGGCUCGAGUCCCGGAGAGGAAGGUGGAAUUCUCGGUGUAGAGGUGAAAUUCGUAGAUAUCGAGAGGAACACCGGUGGCGAAAGCGGCCUUCUGGACGAGGACUGACGCUGAGAUGCGAAAGCGUGGGGAGCAAACAGG
rnacentral:rRNA from 1 species